AACGAACGCUGGCGGCAGGCCUAACACAUGCAAGUCGAACGCCGUAGCGAUACGGAGUGGCAGACGGGUGAGUAACGCGUGGGAACAUACCCCUGGUUCGGAAUAACUCAGGGAAACUUGAGCUAAUACCGGGAUAAGUCCGAGGUUUUAAUCGACCUUGGAGAAAGAUUUAUCGCCGGAGGAUUGGCCCGAGUCUGAUUAGCCUGUUGGUGAGGUAAUGGCUCACCAAGGCGACGAUCAGAGCUGGUCUGAGAGGAUGAUCAG
rnacentral:rRNA from 1 species